UUCUAACGCAAAACUAUUUUC
rnacentral:tRNA from 1 species